UGCCAGCCGCCGCGGUAAUACGGAGGGGGUUAGCGUUGUUCGGAAUUACUGGGCGUAAAGCGCACGUAGGCGGAUUAGUAAGUUAGGGGUGAAAUCCCGGGGCUCAACCUCGGAACUGCCUUUGAUACUGCAGAUCUAGAGUCCGAGAGAGGUGAGUGGAAUUCCUAGUGUAGAGGUGAAAUUCGUAGAUAUUAGGAAGAACACCAGUGGCGAAGGCAUCUCUCUGGGCCGAUAUUGACGCUGAGGCGCGAAGGCGUGGGUAGCGAACGGGAUUAGAUA
rnacentral:rRNA from 1 species